rnacentral:rRNA from 1 species
AUUGAACGCUGGCGGCAGGCCUAACACAUGCAAGUCGAACGGUAACAGGAAACAGCUUGCUACCGGACCUAGCGGCGGACGGGUGAGUAAUGCUUAGAAAUCUGCCUAUUAGUGGGGGACAACAUUCCGAAAGGAAUGCUAAUACCGCAUACGCCCUACGGGGGAAAGCAGGGGAUCUUCGGACCUUGCGCUAAUAGAUGAGCCUAAGUCAGAUUAGCUAGUUGGUGGGGUAAAGGCCUACCAAGGCGACGAUCUGUAGCGGGUCUGAGAGGAUGAUCCGCCACACUGGGACUGAGACACGGCCCAGACUCCUACGGGAGGCAGCAGUGGGGAAUAUUGGACAAUGGGCGCAAGCCUGAUCCAGCCAUGCCGCGUGUGUGAAGAAGGCCUUUUGGUUGUAAAGCACUUUAAGCGAGGAGGAGGCUACUUGGAUUAAUACUCUAGGAUAGUGGACGUUACUCGCAGAAUAAGCACCGGCUAACUCUGUGCCAGCCGCCGCGGUAA